AGCAGACAUGGGCAAACUACGGCCCGCGGGCCACAUACGGCCCGUUAGGCUUUUUAAUCCGGCCCGCCGAACUUGUCCAAAUUAUAGUAAAAACCUCCUUUUUUCCCCUUUCCCUGCAAUGCCCACGUUUCCCCAAUAGAUGGCGCACUCAAAACACAUUGACCGUUGUUGGAGUGGCACGUAUUUCUCUUUAUUUCACUUUAAUUUUCACUUCGUUUCACGUCACCAUUAAGCCCUUCUGUGAAAAUGAGCGGACCAAAGAGAAGGAAAGUGGACAGCGAAUGCCGAGUGUUUAAUAAGGAGUGGACAACAAAAUACUUCUUCACUGAAGUCCGAUCAACGGCUGUAUGUCUGAUAUGCCAAGAAGCUGUUGCGGUUUUCAAAGAGUACAAUAUCAGCCGUCACUUUGCCACGAAGCAUGCAAACUAUGCUAGCAAGCAGUCAACACAAGAACGGGCGGCUACUGCUCAGAGGUUGGCAGCUAAUUUACAGAGUCAACAGAACUUUUUUCACCGACAAACUGCAAUUCAAGAGUCAAGUACCAAGGCAAGUUAUUUGCUGGCAUUCAAAUUAGCAAAGGCUAGCAAGCCUUUCUCCGAAGGCGAGUUUUUGAAAGAGUGCAUGGUAGAGACAGCAGACGUUUAGCGUCAUGAAAAUCAACAAAGCCCAUCACAGAUCCAAGUUAACUGACCAACACCUCAGAUCUGUCCUGAGAAUUGCCACAACAAAACUAACUCCAGACUUUGAUGCACUGGCAAAAAAGGGAGACCAACAACACUGUUCCCACUGAAAUGGUGAGUUUUUCUGCUGUGUUAUGAAAAAAUGCAUAUGGAAAGUUUGGAAGUGCGUCUUUUAUUUAAGAGCAAUGCGCAUUUACGCACAGCAGCGGUACAGUAGCUUAAUUAACACGCCGCACAUCGCUCUUAAUUUAAAUUUAAAUUUUCAGCUGCAGGUAGGAUAUUUAAUACAGCCUAUGUCUGUGUGCUUGGCAACGAUACACGUGUACUGUUUGCGCGUGAAGGCGAGGGCGUCCGUGGCGAGUUUGUAGAGCGCGCGGUCAGGACAAUCCAUCCAUGAUUUUGCGGAGUUUAACACAAGUAGAUAUUAUUGAGCUUGAGUAUUUCGUUGUGUAAUAAUAUGUUUUGAAUGUUGAAAGUGAUUCCAUUUUUCAAUAAAUGUUGAUUUCUUUAACUUUG